rnacentral:rRNA from 1 species
ACGGGAGGCAGCAGUGGGGAAUAUUGCACAAUGGGCGCAAGCCUGAUGCAGCGAUGCCGCGUGAGGGAAGAAGGUUUUCGGAUUGUAAACCUCUGUCAUCGGGGACGAUAAUGACUGUACCCGAGAAGGAAGCUCCGGCUAACUACGUGCCAGCAGCCGCGGUAAUACGUAGGGAGCGAGCGCUAUCCGGAAUUACUGGGUGUAAAGGGAGUGUAGGCGGGAACGUAAGUCAGGUGUGCAAUAUACCGGCUCAACUGGUAGACUGCAUUUGAAACUGCGGUUCUUGAGUGGAGUAGAGGUAAGCGGAAUUCCUAGUGUAGCGGUGAAAUGCGUAGAUAUUAGGAGGAACAUCAGUGGCGAAGGCGGCUUACUGGGCUUUAACUGACGCUGAGGCUCGAAAGCGUGGGGAGCAAACAGGAUUAGAUACCCUGGUA